rnacentral:SRP_RNA from 1 species
GCUGGGCAUGGUGGCGCAUGCCUGUAGUCCCAGCUACUCAGGAGGCUGAGGCAGGAGAAUUGCUUGAACCCGGGGAGGCAGAUGUUGCAGUGCGCCAAGAUCGCGCCACUGCACUCCAGCCUGGGCAAUGGAGCAAGACUCUGUCUCAA